CCGGAGCUGUGAGACGCGCUAGCUCCCCAAUACGCUGCCUUGUCCUCGGCCUGCAGCCAUCUCUUUGCCUCCCACCCCUCGCCACGGUCUCGCAGCGUCCACGAGGGUCGGCUUCUGAAGCUCGGUCCCCAGUGCAGGUCAGGAUCGGGCAUGACCACAGCACUUCUCCAUUUGCCCUGCCCGCCCUUGGUCUUUACUCCUCACACACUCUCAGCCUAGUGCCUCCCAUCCUCUUAGUGAAAGCUGCAGCAAAAGGUCAGAAGAAGCUUGGAAGCAAAGACACAUCCUUAGCAGCUGCAGCACACAGGGAGGAGGCCCCACUGGCCAGAAAUUGGAUAACAGCCAAGAUGGUCCUGUUAAAACCUGAGUCAGAUCAGGUCCCUUCUGGGCUCAGAAGCUUCCAGUGGCUCCCAACUCACUCAGAAAGGACCCAGGAGAAGAUACCAGGUGCGGGGGUCCUGUGGCUGGGAUUCCAGGCACCACUGUUGUCCCUAGUAAUGGAGGAGCCACCAUGGGAUGAGGGGCUCUAUGCCUCCCCAACAGUCGGAUCAGUGAGUAUCUGCUCCCCCCAUGCCCGGAGAUGAAUCAUUAACAGUAAUAUCAAACUGCACCCAGUCGAUUGCAAACCCACUGCCUCCUUCAGUCCUCACAAGAGGCUUUGCUGCUUGAGUUCUAGGGAAGAAGCUGAGAGAACCCAAGAACACAGAGGGAUUUCAGUGACAUAGCCACAGAGUGUAGAGGCAGGGCCAGGCUCUUGCAGCAGCUGCCACUGCACUUUCUGCUUCAGGGACAGCCGAGCCACGGCGGUCAGGUGGGAGGCUUGGUGGACCCUGCAAGCCGUCAGGGCUGCCUGGGGUCUGAGACUGAGGAGCCGGGCCAGGCACACCAGGGCAGAGGGCAGGCAAGGAGUUUGUAAGCCUGAGACCCAGGGACCCUCAGCUGUCCCUAUCCAUACCAGAUCCUGGAUCCCAGCCCCUAGCCCAGAGCCCAGAGCAUGCACCUUCCUGGGGGGCUCUUCCCUGACAUCCCCCUGUUCCUGGCUACAGACAGUUCUUACACUCAUCCACCCAACAGGCAUUUAUUGAGUACCUACUGUAUGACUGGUACUCUUCUGGUGACACAGCCGUUCCCCACAGAGGUGGGGGCCUACCUUCUGGGAGUUUGUACUCCAGUGUGGGAUAUACAAGGGGCUCUGUGCAGGGACUGGAGUAGUCCUGGUGGUUCUAAGCACUAGGAUAGCUCUUUGUGGCAGCCCACGGCAUCCCAGUCCAUUCUGGGCCAGGCCCAAGGGCAGGGAGCACAGCACAGUCUUUGUCCUGGUGAACAUUCCAACCAGACAAGCAGGGAGGCAGAGGGAAGCUGCUUCAGGUGGGCUGCGCAGGGAGGGCCUCUCCACAGAGGUGCUGCUGGAGCUGAGAAGGAGCCGUCUUGAGAGGAGCCAGGGAAGGGUGAGCCAUGCGAAGGCAGGAGCUGGGGUGCGGAAGUGGCUGCACCCUGGAGGCUCUGCAGGAUGCUGAGGCUGAGAACAGCAGAUGUGGGAGAUGACUGGGAGCUGUGGAAGCUUCGAGGAGGGCCGGGGGGUCCCAACAGGCAGGACACGCCCCACAGUGAGCAAUCACUUGGCUCAAUCCACACGUGUCUUCUGGCAAUGCAAGCAUCACACCAUGGUUCUCGCAGGCUCCUGUGGUGGUGUGAGCCCUGGGGCACAGCUUCCUGCACCCUUCCAUGCAUCUCUGCCCUCCCUCCACAAAGUGGGGGUGCAGCCAUGCAGCUAACCAUCCUGACUCACGGAGGGGCAGCUACUGGCAACUCAAAAACACUAUUGUAGAGCAGAGAUUUUUGUUUGUAUUCUCAGAGCAACAGGAAUCUACUGACAUGUUUAAGCAAGAGAGAGACUAGAUCCGACUUCAGUUUUUUAAAAGAUUGCUCUCCUGCCAUGUGCAAAAGCACUGCUGGGCGCACCCAGGCACACCACGGUGUGGCUACAGUAGCCAAAAGGUGGAGGCACCUGAGUGUCCAUCAAUGGAUGAAGAAGCCAAAUGUGCUCUGUCCACACGGUGGAAUGUGGUCAGCCUUAGAGAGGAAGGAAAUUUGUCAACGCACAGCAUGGAUGAACCUUGAGGACACAGUGCUGACAGAAAUAAUCCAGGCACAGAAGGACAAGUCCUAUGAGAUUCCUCUUCUUGUGAGGUCCCUAGAGCAGUCAGGUUCACAGAGACGAAGAGUGGAAUGGUAGUCACCAAGCUUUGGGGGAGUCUUGUGUUUAAUGGGGACACUUACAGUUUUACAAGAUGAAAAAUUUCUGUGGAUGGAUGGUGGUAAUGGUUGCACAACAAUAUGAAUGUGCUUAAUGCACUGAACUGUACACUCAAAAAUGAGGAAGACAGUAAUUUUAUGUUAUGUGUAUUUUACCACAGUUUAAAAUAAAACAAGGGCUGUUGGGAUGUAUCAGUCGGUGUCCCCUGAGGAGAGGCCAGCACACUACAGCAGGCCGAACAGAACAAAUGUCAUACCAGGGCUUGUGACAGAGGCAGGUAGGUUAGAAGGUGCAAUUCCCAGAGCCCCAGGAGUGGAGGCUCCCACCCCACCCAGAGGCCUGGAGGAGCUGCGGGCAGGAGCUGUGGGCAAGGCAGAUAGGUGGACGCACAGGAGCCACCCGACAGGCACUGCUGGAACCUCGUCCAGGCAGGGGAGGAGGCAGCCAGGUGCCCUGAGCUCUCUCUGCUGCCCCAACCCCAGCGUGCCUGUGCCUCCUAUUGAUGGAAACAAACCAGAAGUUGGUGUGUGCUGUCCUAGAGAUCAGCCUCAGGACACUGUGGGGGCCAGGACAGGGCAGCCCAGGGAGAUGAGCAGCACAGGAGACAGAUGGGAGCCGAGGGAGUGGCGGCUCUACCGGGUGGUGGCCAUGGAGAUGCAAAUGGCCUUGAGCACAUAUUUUGGAGACAGAACUUCAGGACUAGGUACACUGGACGUGGUUGAGAAACAGGUUUUGUUUUGCCUUUCUUUGGUAACUCUGGAAAGCAAAAGGUGCUAGAGAGAGGCAGGGUGGAGUGGGGGAGAGACCAGGUUUCAAGGUAGACAGGCCUGGAGCCAGGAGGCUCCGGCACAGACCCAGGGCGCAGGAUGUUCACAGUAUCUACCGCAGGAGGGCACAGGUGCCGCGGAGGGAUGGGGCAGAGGUGCCCCCUGUUACUGGCCAUGGGAUGCCCAAAGGUCCCCAAGGAGGGCCAAUGGCUAUAGUUCCUGGGAGUUGGGGCAUCCGGGGGGUUCAGGCAGUGCCCUUUGCCCAGGCUGGAAUAUUUUCCUGGCUGCUCCAUCCAUGCCAAGGGCCUCCUGGGUGUGUCACCAGAAGAGUGGGGAAGUCGUGCUCACAUAUUCUAAAGACAAGGGAAAGACUUUAGUGGUGGCCCAUGGGGUUAGGCCACCACCUAGAGCCUACAGGAAAGAGGAAGACCUGGACACUCCUCUCUCCCUGCCCUGCCUGUUUUGGGAAGGCGCUCUGGGAAGGGCUGAGUCUGCACCUUGCACAGUCCGUACAGGUCACUGGUCAGGCCAGGGCUGUUUUCAGCUGCUCAUUUAGAAAAGUGUAGUCAGAACUGUCAAGAAAAUCAACGAAGACAAGAAUAAAAUAGAAAAGGAAAGGUAAGAACACAGCAGAGCUCUUCGUGGGUGCAAGGGAGGCGGUGUCCACUCUCCUUUCUUAGGACAGAUAAUGAAUUUCUGAAUUCUGGUUACAACCUUGUAGUGCCGUGAGAAGUUGCUGUGUUUGUGGGCAGAGGUCUUGGCUUCUCUUCACCAUCUGUACCCAGCGCCCUACACCCAUUCUCCUGACCUAGCCCCCCAGCCCUACCUGCGAGCUCUCCCUCUCCCUCUAGCUUUUGCCUCCCCUGGCUCAAUGCAUCAUCCUACAGUGCCGAGUCCUGAUGUGAGGACCAGAGGGGCAGAAUCAUGCUGAACCUCUAGCCCCUUUCCUUCUGCAAUGCCAGGAUGUGCCAGUAGCCCUGCACCAGCUCUGCCUCCUCCUGUCAGGCGGUCAUCCGUGUGGGCCAGGCCCCCUACUCUGCUCGGGGUCACCAGCGGUUCUCUGGGCCUGCCUGAGAGCAGUCAGCCACCUUCCCCUACCAGCCUCAGGCCAUCCUCAUUCCUCAAGGCCUUGACCUCUUCAGCCACCUAGAAAUGGGCCUUUAUCUGGUCCGGGUCCUGGCUGGGGCUUUUGUUCCAUGCCUCUGGCCACUUCUUGCAAAAGCAAAUGUUUCUCAUACAGCAUUGGGCACUUUACCACUGUUGGAGAGGCCAGGAAAAUUCAGAGGCUUGAAGGGCUAGAGCCUCAGAAGUCAGAUGUGAUCUGUGGUCUCUGCACUCGGAGUGCGACUCUUCCCAUGCGAUGACUUGAGAACAUGUGACUGUAUCAGAUUCAGCUGGCAGAUUGGCAGGAAGGUUAAUAAGACAGUCUUGAGUUUCUGCCCAGACAGGCGGAGCCAGGGACCCAGGAAUCUGCAUUUGCAGGAGACACUCAGCUAAUUCUGAAAUUCCUAGUUCAGUGGAUCAUCGUGCAGAGUCAGGGUCAUGUGCCAGCUAUCGUCAGGUAUUGGGCCAUGUCCAUGAACACUGUGAACCAUGACUUCUGACUUCAGGAAGCUUGUAUUCUGUGAGGGGAAGGUAGAAAGCAAGAGAUAGACUCAGGCAGUAAGUGACAAGGAGUGUCAGAGGGAAAGAUGAGAAGUGAUCAUGGACAGUGGUGGUGCUGGGGGUGUCAGGCUAGAGCCGUGGGCUGCAAUGUGGAGCAGGCUGGUGAGAGCAGCCCUCACUGAGAAGGUGACUGAAGUCUUGGAGGUGGAGUACGGGGAGAGGAAGCAGGUCGUGCAAGGGUCCUGAGGCAGCCUGGUGUAACUGAGAGGCAGAAGGAGCUGGUGCGGCUGCAGUGGUACAGGGAGAGUGAAGAGAGGGUGAGGCCAGAGAGCCUGCGGGGGAUGCAACGCUGAGUGAGUUUGAGCUGUUGGAGGGUUUUGAGCAGAGAGAUGACGUGGUAUGACAUGUCUUCAGAGGAUCCCUCCCUCUUGGCCCACCACGAACAGAAUCUGGGUGUAGGGUCAGGGAGGAUAAAGCAGAAGCCAGAGACCAGCUGGAGACUUUCUGUAACUGGGGCAAGGGCGUCUGAGACGAGUGGCAGCCACAAGGCGAAUCUAACAGGAUCCUGCCUGGGAUGGACUGCUCAGCUGGGCCAAGUUCUAUUCCAAGUGCUUCCCCAGUAUUAACUCAUUUAAUGCUUGCCCAGCUCUGUAAGCAGGCACACUCAUUGUCCUGUUUUAUAGAGAAGGAUAUGGAGGCACAGAGAGGGUGAGUUACUCACCCUGGGCCACACAGCUAGAAGAUGACAGAGCCAGGAUUUGAAUCAAGUAGUCUGUAGCCAGAGCCCAGGCUCUUAAAGAGCCACACUUUUCCAACAGAAAAGCACAAGCUGUAAGCUGAGGGAGGGUGUUUGUAGAGAAAAGGAAACACUGGGCCCUGGAUCUAGGAGGGGCCAUCAGAGGGACAAGAGGUCCACUCCAGUCUGACUUUGGGUGGUCCCGACUGUACCUCUCCUGGCAGUAUGGGCUCCGGCAGGUCCCUGGGCCUCCCCAU